rnacentral:rRNA from 1 species
UACGAGUGCCUCAAGCGUUAUCCGGAAUCAUUGGGCGUAAAGGAUGUGUAGGUUGUCAUAUUAGUCUUCUGUUAAAGCUCCCGGCUUAACCGGGAACCUGCAGAAGAAACGGUAUGACUAGAGGGUGCAAGGGGUCUACGGAACUCAUAGUGUAGCGGUGAAAUGCGCAGAUAUCAGGAGGAACACCGGUGGCGAAGGCGGAUCUCUGGGCCGAUACUGACGCUGAGGAGCGAAAGCGUGGGGAGCGAACAGG